ACCAGGUCCAAAGGUAGUGAAUUAUCUCACUUGAUUGUUCACAGUCAGUUAGGGACUGAACUCUUUGUUCUACUACUUUCCCCCUUCUCACUACUGCACUUGACCAGUCUA
rnacentral:Y_RNA from 1 species